rnacentral:rRNA from 1 species
UACGUAUGGUGCAGGCGUUAUCCGGAUUUACUGGGUGUAAAGGGAGCGCAGGCGGCGCGUUAAGCCUGGUGUGAAAGCCCGCGGCCCAACCGCGGGACUGCAUUGGGAACUGGCGCGCUGGAGUGCCGGAGGGGUAGGCGGAAUUCCUAGUGUAGCGGUGAAAUGCGUAGAUAUUAGGAGGAACACCAGUGGCGAAGGCGGCCUACUGGACGGUGACUGACGCUGAGGCUCGAAAGCGUGGGGAGCAAACAGG